rnacentral:rRNA from 1 species
GCCACUGCUAUUGGGGUUCGGCUGAGCCAUGCGAGUGGAGGGCGUCCCGCAAGGGAUGGCCCCGCAGACGGCUCAGUAACACGUCGUCAACCCACCUUAGGGUGGGGGACAACCUCGGGAAACUGAGGAUAAUCCCCCAUAGGCGGGGGAGGCUGGAAUGCGCCCCCGCUGAAAGCUCAGGCGCCCUAGGACGGGACGGCGGCCUAUCAGGUAGUUGGUGGUGUGACG